UAGGGAAUCUUCGGCAAUGGGGGCAACCCUGACCGAGCAACGCCGCGUGAGUGAAGAAGGUUUUCGGAUCGUAAAGCUCUGUUGUAAGAGAAGAACGUGUGUGAGAGUGGAAAGUUCACACAGUGACGGUAACUUACCAGAAAGGUACGGCUAACUACGUGCCAGCAGCCGCGGUAAUACGUAGGUCCCGAGCGUUGUCCGAAUUUAUUGGGCGUAAAGCGAGCGCAGGCGGUUUAAUAAGUCUGAAGUUAAAGGCAGUGGCUUAACCAUUGUUCGCUUUGGAAACUGUUAAACUUGAGUGAAGAAGGGGAGAGUGGAAUUCCAUGUGUAGCGGUGAAAUGCGUAGAUAUAUGGAGGAACACCGGUGGCGAAAGCGGCUCUCUGGUCUGUAACUGACGCUGAGGCUCGAAAGCGUGAGGAGCAAACAGG
rnacentral:rRNA from 1 species